GGCGGACGGCUGAGUAACGCGUAGGUGACCUGCCCCGAAGUGGGGAAUAACUGCCCGAAAGGGAGGCUAAUACCGCAUGUGGCGACUGGUUCGUUCCAGUCUCCAAAGCCGCAAGGCGCUUCGGGAGGGGCCUGCGUCCGAUUAGCUCGUUGGUGGGGUAACGGCUCACCAAGGCGACGAUCGGUAGGUGGUCUGAGAGGACGAUCACCCAGACUGGGACUGAGACACGGCCCAGACUCCUACGGGAGGCAGCAGUCGGGAAUUUUGCUCAAUGGGCGAAAGCCUGAAGCAGCAACGCCGCGUGAGGGAUGAAGGCCUUCGGGUUGUAAACCUCUUUUCUCAGGGACGAUGAUGACGGUACCUGAGGAAUAAGCCACGGCUAACUACGUGCCAGCAGCCGCGGUAAUACGUAGGUGGCGAGCGUUGUCCGGAUUUACUGGGCGUAAAGAGCGCGCAGGCGGUCGUGCAAGUCGGAUGUGAAAGCCCCCGGCUCAACUGGGGAGGGUCAUUCGAUACUGCUCGACUC
rnacentral:rRNA from 1 species